GACGUAGGGCGCGAGCGUUGUCCGGAUUUAUUGGGCGUAAAGAGCUCGUAGGCGGCUUGUCGCGUUGUUCGUGAAAACUCACAGCUUAACUGUGGGCGUGCGGGCGAUACGGGCAGACUGGAGUACUGCAGGGGAGACUGGAAUUCCUGGUGUAGCGGUGGAAUGCGCAGAUAUCAGGAGGAACACCGGUGGCGAAGGCGGUUCUCUGGGCAUGUCCUGACGCUGAGGAGCGAAAGUGUGGGGAGCGAACAGG
rnacentral:rRNA from 1 species